CUGAGCAAGCAGCUGAGUUUCUAAGAACCAGAUCCAUCCACACAGACCACAAAAGACCCCAGCUUCAGCCUGUCAACAGGCAAACAGCCACCAAGAGUCCCGCCGCCGGCCACACCCCGAGAAGCCCACCUGCAGGGUGACAAGGACACUGACAAGGCAAAUUGAUACAUUACAGUAUUUCAGGGGUAGGGCAAAGAAGUGCCAAACAAGAGGAUAUUUACAUGGUAAACUUUAAAUUUCAAUAAUUCUUAGCAAAAGCAUAAAAGCAACAAAAGAACAAGUCCGAAUGGAUCCACAGAGAGAAAUAUUCCAAAAAUCAGAUACCACAUCAUCUCUAAUUAGUCCACUGACCUUCCAGUUCAAGGAUGGAGAUUUUUACGGAUUAGAGGUGUUUUUUUUUAAGAUUGGCCAUGAGCUAACAUCUGUUGCCAAUCUCUUUUUUUCUUCUUCUUUUUCUCCCCAAAGCCCCCUAGUAUGUAGUUGUAUAUCUUCGUUGUAGGUCCUUCUAGUUGUGCUAUGUGGGACGCCACCUCAGCAUGGCCUGACGAGUGGUGCUAGGUCCGUGCCCAGGAUCCAAACUGGCAAAACCGUGGGCCAUCUAAGCGGAGCGUGUGAACUUAACCACUCGGCCACCGGGCCACAGGGCUGGCCCCUAGAGUUCUUAAGUAUACGUUUGAAGCAAAUCUGAAAAUUUUUGAAUUUGAAAGCAAGAGAGCUCAGUUCUAACUUCCCCCUGCUUUUUCACUCCCGUUUGAAGCUCUGACCCUUUACAGCUCUGGCAGGUUUUUCCUGAGGCGUCUCCACCCUCCCAUCCACUUAACCCCCAGCUGACUGGUUUUCUCCCCCGACGGACAAGAUUUGUUCCUCAGUCAGUUUAUGGGCUCAGACCCCUGUUAGCCACAAAAAGGCAGGUGGAUAUGGCUUCUCUAGAUAUUUUGGUAACAAACAAGAGAAAAUGUGGUUUUCUUGUGUAAUAUUGCUUUUCCCUCCAAAAAUCCUUAGAAACAUCUCCUCAAACAUUGAAAGUACUCUCUAUACUAAUCAUCCAGGAUAUCUGUGAAUUCUCAGGGCCCUCUGUUUUUGCCUGUCACUGCAUUUCAGCGGAACACAAGAUAAGCAAAACACAAGUUGGAUGCCAGUCCCGGCACCACUGGAUCUGAUCUUACAACCGUGAAAAGGAACAGCCCAGGGGCGGACCCAGAGCAGUUUUUAAUGACGCCAAUUCAGAAACAGCAAAGCUCAAAGGGCACCUGGCAGUUUUCCUUUCAGAUAAAAGGAAUAAAAACUCAUCCUAGGGGAUGCAAAUCAGUCAAACCCAGAGGCAGCUAAGGGGGGCACUGAGCAAGGCUGAGAAGCAGGAGAAGGAGAGAAAAGCCUUUCCUGGGAACCAGGAGAAGGCGAGAUGCACGCACACAUCCACGCCGGGCUGACUCCACAGAAAACCAGCUCCCAUCAACAUGUCAGGACAGUCAGAGUUUUCUGGAAGGUUUUGUUCUGACUGGGGGUUUCUUGACCUGGGGUCCACGGACACAGAAUGCCAUGGUUCGGAGAACACCUGUGGACUUGGAAGGGAAGGAAAACUCCCAAGAAACGAUUCUACAAAGGGGAGUGGGUGUGGAAUAAGGAGGCGCUCUGAAUUUAUCUCGUUUGUCAUCCCCAACCUUCAAGACAAACUCUGCCAACGUCCCCCUCGCGUCCACUGCCACUGCAGGGAGUCAGAGGGUGGGCGUCCCAGGUGUCCUCAAGCGCUGCUGCAUGUCAGAAACACGUGGAGCCUCAGGAAUGCUCACGCCCACGUCCAGCCCAGGUUCAAACUCCCUGCGAGGUUGGCAAGCACAGCCCAAGGGACGUGCAGACUGAGAACCACCGGGCUCGACUCAGGCCUGGUGAAGGCGUGGUGGAGAGCAAGGACCUCCUCACGCCGGCAGAAAGGCGGGAGUGGACUCAGCAAAGGAACCAGGGAUGCGCAUCGCAGGGUCGGAGUCUGAGUAACCGAACCUGCAGCCUCCUGGCCUCCAGAAACGUCACAUUUUAUUCUGAGUAAAGAAAGUAGCAUUUCUUGAGACAGAUGUUCAACAAAUUUCUAUCAGAUGAACGACUGUAUACCACGUGGAUUGGUAUUUAGAAUGGACUGUGCACUUGGGGAAACAAUAUCGUGAAGACGGUUCCACAUCUUCCUGAGUUCUGUGAGCUCGUUUAAGGCAGGUGUUUAAAGUCUUGGUCUGGUAGGUCUGCCAUCCGGCCGUUUUCAGGGACAGCUCUGUUGAGUUAGCUUUUCCUUGCAACAGGCCAUAUUUCCUGUUUCUUUGUGUGCCUUGUGAUUUUUAGUUGAAAUCUGGACCCUUGAAGCUAACGAGGUGGUAACUCUGGAAAUCAGAUCCUCCCCUCCGUGGGGUUUGCUGUCUCGUGUCGUGUUUCUGUGGUUUUGAUUGUCGCAGGCUGUGCUGAGGAUGGGCCCGAGGCGUCAGCUUGUCAGCUUGAGGUUUUCUCAGGUGUUUUCUGAGUCGCUGCCUUUCCCUGGGCACACACAGUCACUUCCUAAUUUCCCUGGUGUGCAACGGUUUGAACGUCCUAGUCUUUAGUGUCUGGCUCCCAAAAUGUAAGACAGAGAAAAAAGGUGGGGAGGAGGGUGCCAACCCUUUAAAUCCCCUGGGAUCACCUCAGCCUGAGUGCCUUGCCACAAUGUGGGGGGGGGGGGGUGCAACAACAAGGGUUGCCCCCUCUGUGACUGCCCCUCUGUGAUCAGAAGCAGCAAUCACAACACAGAUCCCCGUUAUCUGGAGGACAGGGUCCUUUUUGCUGGCUGUGUCCGUGUCUCCCGCACGCCUGUGCGAGCCGCUGCAGGAACACGCACACAGUUGCCUCCACGUGGCCGGGGGUAGGGGCCUGGGUAGCGGCUCCUGUGCUAAGAGCUGGAACUGACUGACAUUAAUCUCAAUUGACCGUCCAAGGCUUCCUCUGGGAGUUGCAAGCCUUCAGCAGACUCCAGGGCUCCCACUUAGUUCCCUCAGACAGAUCCUGCCGGCACAGUUGCUCUCCGUGUGGAUGGGGAGCCAGAUUCCCACCCCACUCCGCCUUCCAACUCCGCCUUCUUCCCAGAAUUCUCUCUGUGACUGUUUCUUGAGGGUGGGGGUGUAGAUGAUUCUCACCUUAUUUUGUUUACUUUGUUUAUUUCUGCUUUGUAUGAAUUUUUAAUAAACACAUUACUUUCAUAAUCAGAAAUAAAGAAUUUAUAUUCUGGAAAAGGAAAAGCACGGCCCUAAUUUACCCCUCCUGCUGAGUCUGCCGGUCAUUCCGCGAGUCUGUUCACCUCCACUCUUGAGGAAUAUGAGCCUGUCUACCGGAAGAAAGAUGACCUUUCCAGGACCCUUUGCAGCUAGGUGUGUCCAAGGUCUGGCCAUUGAGAUAUAAGUGGAAAUAGAGCAGCUUCCAGAAAUCUUCUCUAUGAGAUCAUUGGAGCGUGCCCUUUGUCAUUCUCCAUCCUGCAGCCUGGAAUGCAGCGGCCACCACCUUGAGCCGAGGCUGAGACCCUGCCCUGAGUGAGGCCACGACGUCACCCCUGGGUGCCUGACCCAGCAGAGCAUCACACCCUCCUGAGCCUACACCUGGACUUUCCCACGAGGCAGCCACUCACUUCCCUCUCGUUAACCCUCAGGUACCAACUUCAACACCUUUGUUAUGCGACAAGCCAGACAGCUCCCUGGAGAAGGUCUUCCUUGCCCAGACAACGAACGGCCAGACCGUCUUCUGGGACCUUUGCACUCGGUCAGAGCUGG
rnacentral:lncRNA from 1 species